AGUUCUCACGGAAGGAAUCCUAGAUAUGCCUCCACUGAUGCAUGAGGAAAUUCUGGAGACCUUCUGUGGAGUGAGACUAAAAGGCUGUU
rnacentral:miRNA from 1 species